GUCAGAUCGAAAUGACAAAGUUGUGCUAAGUUAUGUUUUUAUCUUAAAAGAGGAGCGACAUACUUGAAAUGUGCCAUGCAGUAUUCAGUAGUCAGUUUUAUUUACGAUACGGAGUUCUUUGUGGUAUCGGAUGCUGGUAAAGAAGUUAUUUGGUUAUGAAAGAUCUUUUGCGAGCUUGAAGAGGUACCCUCCGUUGAUGGUCCAGUCCUUCUGUAUUGACAACAGUACUAGAGUCAUAGCUCAAGCUAAAAAACUAGUAUUCCAUCUG
rnacentral:lncRNA from 1 species